rnacentral:tRNA from 1 species
AAAAAGGUAAGCUAAUAAAAGCUAAUGGGUUCAUACCCCGUAAAUAGGAAUACCUCCUUUUUA